GUGGCCCUGGCCGAGCGGUCAGGCGUCGGUCUUCCAAACCGAACAGGAGGGUUCGACUCCCUCGGGCCACU
rnacentral:tRNA from 1 species